GGCUCAGGUCACAAUCCUAGAGUCCUGGGAUAGAAUCCUACAUAGGCUCCCCACAGGGUUCCUGGUUUUCCCUUUGCCUAUGUCUCUGCCUCUCUUGCUGUGUCUCUCACGAAUAAAUAAAUAAAAUAUUUUUUAAAAACCACAGGAAAAGAACCAAAGAACAAGAAACAGACUACAAAAAUAACCAUAAAACAAUCAACAGAAUGGCACUAAAUAAACUUUAAAUAUAGGGGUACUUGGGGGACUCGGUUGGUUAAGCAUCUACCUACAGCUCAGGUUAUGAUCCCAGGGGCCUGAGAUCGAGCCCUGAAUUGGGCUCCUUGUUCAGUGGGGAGUCUGCUUCUCUUCUCCUCCCUUUGCUCAUGUGUGAGCUCUCUCUCUCUCUCUCUCUCUCUCCAAAAUAAAGAAGAUCUUAAAAAAAAAUUAAAUGUAAAUGGGCUAAAUGCUCCAAACAAAAGACAGAGGAUCACAGAAUGGAUAAAAAACAAGGAACUGCCCUCCUCACACCAAAUAAGACUAUCUAUAUGCUGCCUAUAAGACAUUACUUCAAACCUAAAGAGAUAUACAGAUUGAAAGUAAAGGCAUGGAAAAAAAUAUUCCAUGCAAAUAGAGGUGGAACAAAAACUGGGAUAUCAAUACUUACACCAGAGAAGACAAAUUUGUUUUUAAACCAAAGGCUAUAACAAGAGACAAAGAAGGGCAUUACAUAAUGAUAACGGGAUCAAUCCAACAAGACUGAUAUAUAAAUAAAUAUACACUAUAAUUAUCUAUGCACCCAACAUAGAAACACCUAAAUACAUAAAGCAAAUAACAACAAAAAGAGAGACACAAGCAGUAAUAGUAGGCAACUUAAACACCUCACUACAUCAAGGGAUAGAUCAUUCAGACAGAAAAUCAACAAGGCAACUGUAGUUUUAAGUAACACAUUAGGUCAGAUGGACCUAACAGAUGUGUAUAGAACAUUCCAUCCAAACACAGCAGAAUAUACAUUCUUUUCAACUGCACAUGGAACAUUCUCUAAGAUCACAUGUCAGGCCACAAAACAAAUCUCAAUAAAUUUAAGAAUAUGAAAUCAUAUCAAGCAUCUUUCCUGACCACAAUGGCAUGAGUGUAGAAAUUACAAGAAAAAAUUUGGGAAAAAACACAGAGACAUGGAGGCUAAACAACAUGCUACUAAACAACCAAUGGGUCAACAAAGAAAUAAAGAGGAAACAAACAAAAUAC
rnacentral:lncRNA from 1 species